GCACCAUUAGGUGUUGUACUCUCCACAGCCUGAGCCUCUAUAAAAGGGAAGCUGGAAGCUGGUAGCCAAGUGUUCAUAUCAUGUGUCUGGGACCAGGUGUGUGGUGGAUCCACGCUAUUUGCUGACUGUGGGCCGUGGUGGUAGCGUUACCUGGGCGUGUGGUUGUUCAAUGCCGCAGUUUAAACCGAAGGAGAGUGACCUCUGGUGGUCAGAGGAGGAACUCCAUCCUUCUGAGGAGUUCCUGGUUUAUCAGUGAAGGAGGAAGAGAAGCAGAGUUAGAAACCAUCAGCAGCUCAGGAUGAAGCAGCUCUGCAGGAUGGAGACACUGAAGAACCUCGUAGAGGAGAAGAAGGAACCAACAUCACAGUUGCAUGUUCAUUUAGUUGGUCUGGAAACAGGAGGUUCUUCUGUAGGGAAACCUGUGAAGGAGAAAAUAUCCUCAUUGAAACAACAGAAGACAGUUUUCAGAGAGGAAGAUACAGCAUUCUGUAUGAAAAGAAAGGUCGUUUAUCAGCUGAUAUAAUGUAUGUGAGCAUCACUGGGCUGAAAAAGUCAGACUCAGGACGGUACCGGUGUCAGUCUGAUGAAACGUGGGCUGGAACUGUAUAUGAUGAUUUUGAUCUUAUUGUGACUGAAGGUGAGUUUUCUCCUGAAAAUCCUGUUAUGCUCACUGACAGCUUGUUCUGAUCCAAAUAACCUCAGACAGGAAACUGGGUUUAACUAGUUCUGAUGGUUUUAACUGAUCUAAAUCAUCCAAAAUGUUCAAACUGUGACUCACCCAGAAAAAAAUUAUCAUUGGUGUCAUGAAUAUGAAGAAUUAUGGUCAGCUUUAAACUCUGUGGCUCUGAUUCUGUUUAAUUGU